GUGCCAGCAGCCGCGGUAAUACAGAGGUCUCAACCGUUGUUCGGAUUCAUUGGGCGUAAAGGGUGCGUAGGCGGCGGGGUAAGUCAGGUGUGAAAUCUCGGGGCUCAACCCCGAAACUGCACUUGAUACUGCCUCGCUUGAGUACUGGAGAGGAGACUGGAAUUUACGGUGUAGCAGUGAAAUGCGUAGAUAUCGUAAGGAAGACCAGUGGCGAAGGCGAGUCUCUGGACAGUUACUGACGCUGAGGCACGAAGGCCAGGGGAGCAAACGGGAUUAGAUACCCCUGUAGUCC
rnacentral:rRNA from 1 species